UCCACCGCAACCAGAGGCAGACUCACUCCUCUCCUCUCCAUCUGGAUCUCCAUCUUCAUCUCUGAGCUCGUUCUUGUCUUCUCCAUCAUUGUGUAGAACUUCAUCUCCUUUUCAGCUUUAAAACCGACAGCCAGUAAAAUUAGGUCAAACAAAUUAUAAGGAGAUUCAAACAAAUUUCAGAUAUGCGGAUGAACCGAGGAUGUUAUGGAAAAAGAAGAGGACGAGGUUGAAGUAACAGUGAAGAUGCUGCUGCUGAGGAUGUGGUUGUAGAAGGUAUCAUCCUGAUAAAAAUGCCAAUAAUCCUGAAGCUUCAGAACUUUUCAAGGAGGUUGCAUAUUCUUAUAGCAUAUUUUCUGAUCCAGAGAAAAUAAGGCAAUAUGGUACUGCAGGAUUCGGGGUUGACAAGCAAUGCGCCCACUUUUUUGGCGUGACACGGUGAGCAGCAGACACAGGUUGGAAUUGUUGUUAGGGCUACUUCAACAGCGGAAAGCAAGUUUAAGGUUAAUUGAAUGAUGCUCUGUUGUGAGAUCAGAAAGGUUGGAGAACAAAGCAGCCAUUAGGUCCCUUAGCAGCUGCAAGAUUUGUAAGUUUCUAUAUAGUAUCUCGUUAUAGUGAUUUAAGUUGGAUGAACUAGGAAUUUCGUAAGUUUCUAUGAACUGAACUUCGGAACUUAGUAAGUUUGUAUGUGUACACUAGUUUACAGUGAUACUUGUAUACAUUUGUAUCAAAUACUCGUAGUAUUUGUUAACUUCAAUUGAAUGAAUCUUUUUUUCAUGAUA